UACGGAGGGUGCGAGCGUUGUCCGGAAUCACUGGGCGUAAAGGGCGCGUAGGUGGCUUCUCAAGCGCGCGGUGAAAGCCCGGGGCUCAACCCCGGGUCGGCCGUGCGGACUGGGAGGCUCGAGCACUGUAGGGGCGGGUGGAAUUCCGGGUGUAGCGGUGGAAUGCGUAGAGAUCCGGAAGAACACCGGUGGCGAAGGCGGUUAGCUGGGCAGUUGCUGACACUGAGGCGCGACAGCGUGGGGAGCAAACAGG
rnacentral:rRNA from 1 species